rnacentral:lncRNA from 1 species
GUGGUCUCUGCCCUCAACAAGGCCUGGUGUGUGAGCUGCUUUGCCUGUUCCACUUGCAAUACCAAACUAACACUCAAGGAUAAGUUUGUUGCAAUUGAUCUAAAGCCAGUCUGCAAAUACUGUUAUGAGAAAAUGCCAGAAGAGCUUAAGAGGCGACUUGCCAGACGGGAGAGAGAAGCAAGGGAUAAAGAGAAGCAGAGAAAGAGAAAGCCAGUGUGUCUGUAACCGUUCUAUCCCUUCCACACCAUUCUCACUGCUUCUCUGUGG